rnacentral:rRNA from 1 species
GACGAACGCUGGCGGCGUGCUUAACACAUGCAAGUCGAACGGAAAGGCCCUGCUUUUGUGGGGUGCUCGAGUGGCGAACGGGUGAGUAACACGUGAGUAACCUGCCCUUGACUUUGGGAUAACUUCAGGAAACUGGGGCUAAUACCGGAUAGGAGCUCCUGCUGCAUGGUGGGGGUUGGAAAGUUUCGGCGGUUGGGGAUGGACUCGCGGCUUAUCAGCUUGUUGGUGGGGUAGUGGCUUACCAAGGCUUUGACGGGUAGCCGGCCUGAGAGGGUGACCGGCCACAUUGGGACUGAGAUACGGCCCAGACUCCUACGGGAGGCAGCAGUGGGGAAUAUUGCACAAUGGGCGGAAGCCUGAUGCAGCAACGCCGCGUGCGGGAUGACGGCCUUCGGGUUGUAAACCGCUUUCGCCUGUGACGAAGCGUGAGUGACGGUAAUGGGUAAAGAAGCACCGGCUAACUACGUGCCAGCAGCCGCGGUGAUACGUAGGGUGCGAGCGUUGUCCGGAUUUAUUGGGCGUAAAGGGCUCGUAGGUGGUUGAUCGCGUCGGAAGUGUAAUCUUGGGGCUUAACCCUGAGCGUGCUUUCGAUACGGGUUGACUUGAGGAAGGUAGGGGAGAAUGGAAUUCCUGGUGGAGCGGUGGAAUGCGCAGAUAUCAGGAGGAACACCAGUGGCGAAGGCGGUUCUCUGGGCCUUUCCUGACGCUGAGGAGCGAAAGCGUGGGGAGCGAACAGGCUUAGAUACCCUGGUAGUCCACGCUGUAAACGGUGGGUACUAGGUGUGGGGUCCAUUCCACGGGUUCCGUGCCGUAGCUAACGCUUUAAGUACCCCGCCUGGGGAGUACGGCCGCAAGGCUAAAACUCAAAGGAAUUGACGGGGCCCCGCACAAGCGGCGGAGCAUGCGGAUUAAUUCGAUGCAACGCGUAGAACCUUACCUGGGUUUGACAUGGAUCGGGAGCGCACAGAGAUGGGUGUGCCUCUUUUGGGGUCGGUUCACAGGUGGUGCAUGGCUGUCGUCAGCUCGUGUCGUGAGAUGUUGGGUUAAGUCCCGCAACGAGCGCAACCCUUGUUCACUGUUGCCAGCACGUUAUGGUGGGGACUCAGUGGAGACCGCCGGGGUCAACUCGGAGGAAGGUGGGGAUGACGUCAAGUCAUCAUGCCCCUUAUGUCCAGGGCUUCACGCAUGCUACAAUGGCUGGUACAGAGAGUGGCGAGCCUGUGAGGGUGAGCGAAUCUCGGAAAGCCGGUCUCAGUUCGGAUUGGGGUCUGCAACUCGACCUCAUGAAGUCGGAGUCGCUAGUAAUCGCAGAUCAGCAACGCUGCGGUGAAUACGUUCCCGGGGCU